UACGUAGGGUGCAAGCGUUGUCCGGAAUUAUUGGGCGUAAAGAGCUCGUAGGCGGUUUGUCGCGUCGGCUGUGGAAACCUGGGGCUCAACCCCGGGCCUGCAGUCGAUACGGGCAGACUAGAGUGCGGUAGGGGGGACUGGAAUUCCUGGUGUAGCGGUGAAAUGCGCAGAUAUCAGGAGGAACACCGGUGGCGAAGGCGGGUCUCUGGGCCGUAACUGACGCUGAGGAGCGAAAGCGUGGGGAGCGAACAGG
rnacentral:rRNA from 1 species